rnacentral:rRNA from 1 species
CCUACGGGUGGCUGCAGUGGGGAAUAUUGGACAAUGGGGGGAACCCUGAUCCAGCCAUGCCGCGUGUGUGAAGAAGGCCCUCGGGUUGUAAAGCACUUUCAGUGAGGAAGAACGCCUGGUGGUUAAUACCCAUCAGGAAAGACAUCACUCACAGAAGAAGCACCGUCUAACUCCGUGCCAGCAGCCGCGGUAAUACGGAGGGUGCGAGCGUUAAUCGGAAUUACUGGGCGUAAAGCGAGCGUAGGUGGCUUGAUAAGCCGGUUGUGAAAGCCCCGGGCUCAACCUGGGAACGGCAUCCGGAACUGUCAAGCUAGAGUGCAGGAGAGGAAGGUAGAAUUCCCGGUGUAGCGGUGAAAUGCGUAGAGAUCGGGAGGAAUACCAGUGGCGAAGGCGGCCUUCUGGACUGACACUGACACUGAGGUGCGAAAGCGUGGGUAGCAAACAGGAUUAGAUACCCCUGUAGUC